GCAGGAAUUACUUGGAUUCAUUCUAGGCUGUUUUCUUCUGGGGUUUGAGCUCCAUGAACCCAAUAGCAGAAGUCCCUCUUGAUCAGGAAUUAAUUUGGCCCAUAAAUUAAACUCUGGGAAAUAAGGAUUUCCAUCUGUGAAUGAACUAAUGACACCUACUUACAGGCAGCAUUGUGAAGUUUAAUUAAUUGACAUUAUUGAAGAAUCCUGAGGUUGAAGUCCUGAUGCGUUGGAGAGUCACCCCUAAUUUGUGAAAACAUAUGGCUUAUUCCACCCUUCCACACUGAGGAUUCGUUCGAAGCAUGCUUGCCUGCAGUCCUGUGCUCACCAUCUGGAUCAGCCUUCCGCAAGUCAAGGUCCUUGCUGGGAGCCUGGAUUGCCUUUAGCCAUUCUGCUUUGCUCAGAAAGGUCCUUGGCAAAGGGAAGGGUAUAAACAUAAAAAUCUUCAGGGAAGAACUGGGAGAUGUGGGGUUUGCAUAUAGACCCCUUCACAGGUUGAAUGCCUGAUGGCUUCUGUGAGUUGUGCAACAUCCCAUUUUGGGGCAAUGCAAGGUGCUGCUUUUUGUCAUCUAUCUCAUUCAAAUUCUCACCCAAUAGCCUGGCAAUGCAUGUUGUACACUCACUGGCUUUGGUUGCCAAAACAACAGCAAACCCAUAAUUUUGGUUAUGUUUUCAAGUACAGUAGUUGUACUGUGACAAGCACUCCUAGAUCAAAUACGUGGGAAGUGUGGCUAAGCAAUGACCUGAUCCAGGGCUGGAAGAUCAGCCCAUUGGCAAUCAGAUGGACUGGGACACCUAAAAAGAGUUUUUGGCUUUGUAAGCAGUGCAGGGAUGGGAGCUGAGCUGUGUGGAGUUAAUCUGAAAUGUGGAAGUAGGGCAAAAUGGCCUUGUCAGUUUGUGGGCAAUCGCAAGUAAGUUUGUAAUAGGCAGUGCAAACCAUUCACAAGAUUUCGAAGCUAGAUUCAGUGUAACUGUGUUGGUUUGUAUGAAUCCAUAUUGAAUUUUUUUCUUUAAAUAAA